UACGUAGGCAGCAAGCGUUGUUCGGAGUUACUGGGCGUAAAGGGUGUGUAGGCGGUUCUUUAAGUUUGGUGUGAAAUCUCCCGGCUCAACCGGGAGGGUGCGCCGAAUACUGAGGGACUAGAGUGCGGGAGAGGAAAGUGGAAUUCCUGGUGUAGCGGUGAAAUGCGUAGAUAUCAGGAGGAACACCGGUGGUGUAGACGGCUUUCUGGACCAGCACUGACACUGAGGCACGAAAGCGUGGGGAGCAAACAGG
rnacentral:rRNA from 1 species